UUUAUGGGACCUGUUUACUCGCUCGGGGAGUGGCUUGAUAAAUAUAAUCCGUUUUUUUACUGAUGUGUAUAGCUUUUAUUGCGUUGUGUAAUUUACAUUCUUAUUGAUGUAAUGUUAUACAGUGUAUGUUUUUUUAAAUGUGUCCACCUACGAAGCACUCUGACAAUUCUAUUGUAAAGGAGGCUAUAAUACAUCAAGUUUUAUUGAUUGAUUUUCGUUUCCAAAGAGACGGAUUUUUUGCCCAGUAACGCCACGAGCACACGAUGGUCGUUUGCAUGAGAGUUCAGAAAGCGAGGAUUUCUUCGGAUGAAAUUAUUGUAAUGUAAAAAUGUUCUCAUGUUUCUUUCAUGUGCAGCCUAUCGAGCCCAGACACAAUGGAGGAAUUAACUUUUGGCUGAAAAAUGAAGUGGACAUUUUUGUUGGCCAAAAACGACACCGCCUACAGAGCCUCGACACAAUGGAGGAAUUCACUUUUUAUUAAAAAAUUCUGGACAACGACACAGACCUCACCGUUGGGAUUCUUCAGGGUUGCCUGCACUUUUCUCUAAGUUGACAUGUGAGGGUUUGGACAAGAGGAAGAGUUCAUGGGGUGGGG